UCCAGGUUGGGAGGUACUCGUACUGGGCCAUAUACAACAGGUGGCACUGAGAAAUGUGAUCAGGAGUGAGGGAAUAAGAAAGUGUGUCAGCAGUUUGGAGGCUCCAGCUGCCACACUCAGGUUUACAGGCAGACUUCCAAGCUCUGGAAAGAGGAAAGAAUGGAACGGAAAGCAAGAAGCAGGGCCCCCACCCCAAAGGGACCGGGCAGAUUUCCAAGCCGGGAGUCAGACCUGCAACACGGGGCCUUCCCAGCAGUGGGAGUGGCUAGUUGCUCCAUUCCAGAGCGCUGAGCGGAGCUCUUCUCGUUCCUUCUGCAGAAGGUCAUGACUGCCCUUGGAUGUCGGGUCUGCAGGUGGGAGCGAAGAGGCCCAGCUGUGCAGAGGGGAGGAUGGAGAUGCUGGAGAGAGGGCAGGGUCCAUUGCUGGCUAAGGAGUUGGGGCUUUAUUUGGCAGGCAAAAGGUAAAAAAUGGGAAAAAUUAAAACAAGGGAGUAUCUUCAUGAGAGCUGUAUUUGAGGAAGAUUAGUUUGAUGCUAGUGUGUAAAAUGGACUAAAGUUAAGUGAGUCCUUACCUGUAACAGAUUUCUUCUCUUCCUCUUCCCAAAUACACUUCUGUCCACACCCCUAACACUGUAGGUUAAAUAAACUAUAAUGUGAAAAUUAGCAUAAUUAAGUUAAUUAAUAAAAUACUAAUUUCACCUGUUUCUUUUUACGUUUUUAAUGUGGUCUCUAGAAAAGUUAAAAUUAUGUAAGUGGUUCACAUUGUAUUUCUAUGGGGGUGAUGUCCCUCGAAUCCUUUCUCCCUAUCACAGUCAGAUCUUUUUAAAAUACAAAUCUCUUGGGGCGCCUGCGUGGCUCAGUUGGUUAAGGGUCCAACUUGGGCUCAGGUCAUGAUCUCACGGUUGGUGAGUUUGAGCCCCGCAUCGGGUUCUGUACUGACAGCUCGGAGCCUGGAGCCUGCUUUAGAUUCCGUGUCUCUCAUUCUCUGCCCCUCUCCCGUUCACGCUCUGUCUGUCUCUGUCAAAAAUAAACAAAAACAUUAAAAAAUAAAUAAAAACAAAAUACGAGUCUCUCAUGUAACGCUGCUGUGUGGAACCCUUCGAUGGUCUCCACUGCCCCAGGAUCAAGUCCAGACUCUUCAACAUGGCUCCCAAGCUCUCCUAAUCUGACGUUGACCUUGCCUCUUAACUACCCUUCUCCACUGUACUCAUCCUUCCAGCAGAUCAAACCAUACUCAGUUUCGUCUGUGAAAUUGCUUUGUUAUUCUCAACAUUCAUGCCAUUCUUCUUCCUGAACUGAGCAUUUUUCUCCUUUCUCAUCAGCUGACUUUUGCUUCCUUUCCAUUAAAGUCUCAGUUUUAGAUAUCCCUGACUCCGUGACUCUAGAACAGGCAUCUCUACUUGAUGCCAGGGGCCCUGCCAUGUGCCUGCUCCAUUAUAGCCUUCUCACAUUCUUGGUAAGGUCUUAUUUACCUGUCUCUCUCCUCCCUAGACUGUAAGUUCUUUGAAAGCAGAGACUCUGUGUUGAUCCCCACGGCAUGUCCAACACUUAGCUCAGUACCUGGGGCAUAGCGGCUGCCUGCAUGGUUGUAUGAAUGAACAAAUGGGGCCAUCAUGCCAGGCAGUACAAUCCUGAAUCAGGAUAGUGGCACUGGGAAUGAAAAAGAUUAGACGCUCAUGAAAGAGCUGGGAAGGACAGAAUUCUUAGUACCGGAAACAGUGUGAAUGUACCUACCUCUGAUUACUAAUGGGUAUGAGGAACUAUUGUACUUUAUAAGGUGCCAAAAGUCCUAAAUAAUGGAAGCAACAGCAAAGAGGCAAACAAAUGUUCUAAGAAAAAAGACAUAUUUUUAUGUUAUUUUGUUACUUUCUGUUAUUUAAAAAAAUUUUAAUUCCAGUGUAGUUAACAUAUAGUGUGAGUUUCAGGUGUGCAGCAUAGUGAUUCAUCAGUUCUAUAGGUUAUUCAGUGCUCAUCACGGUAAGUGUAACGUGUACUCUUUUGAAAAUCGCAUGAUGUUUGGAGUCAAAAGACUUGGGCCGAAGACAUGACUCUUGCAUUUCCAUUGUCUCCGUAGUCUUGACAUUUCAGUUUCUUAGGUUAUAAAAUGGCGAUAGUACUUCUACUUCUGGGUUUGUUGUGAAGAUAAGGAAACUGAUUCGUGUAAAAUCACUCUGCAAAUUGUAGAGAUGGAAAGCGCUAGCCAGUUAUCAACACCAAAACACUGAUGGCUUCAAAUUGGUGAUAUUCAUGCCAUGGUGACUAAACCGUACAUAAUCUCGACCUACCCCAAGGCAUGUAAACCUCAAAUAAACGACCCUAGCACAGAGAGGCUUGGAUAGUCCACGCUAGAUGAAGUUACCUAUUUCUGUCAGUACGACUUAGGGAAUGCUGUGGGGAGACAGUGAGCAAGGGGUGCAGUGGGCACACGUGCCCAGGUGGUGUGGCUGGGCUGGGCUGGGUGGCCUCCUUGUCUCUGCCUGCUCUGUGAUGAACUCACAUUUGACUUCUAAGCUUGGGGUCAAACCUUUCCCCCUGCUCGGAUUGUUCUCUUCGCUUCUGCCCUGCUUCCCUAAACCCCUUCCCCGCCAUCUGGGAAUUUCAUUCAUACUUAAAGUUUUCAGGAGGCUCACAAUCUUUAGUAUCUAAAGUUGCUCUUUCUUCCCUUAAAAGAGAGCCCACUGUCUGGUCUUCUCUCCCAUUCCCUGAUCGGAUAUAGCGCUAACACUGAGUAUUUCCAAGGUGGGGCUUGAAAGAUGCCCUUCCAUCCAGCCUGUAUUCUUGCCCCCAGAUAUGUGCCAGACUUUUACCUGGGGUGUGCUAGGAUGGCCGUUCUAAGUGGGACAAACUGUAACGCUAGCAUUCUGACUUGGAAUUUAGUCUGGAUGGUUCCACAGAAGUCCGUAAUCAGACCCUCCCCUCUCGCCUGCUUACUUUGUUUGUUUGCUUGUUUGCCUCCCUUACUUUAGAUCCAGGGCCAGUAUGUGCAAUUCAGUGCUUUACACAUAGGAUGUGCUCUAUUAAAGUCAUUAAAAUAGUUAUUUAUUUACCUGACCCUUCAUGGAGGAUCAUUUGAGGGAUUAUGGGAUUACAUAAAAUAAAACAAAAGCAUGCCUCGUGUUUCCAAGGGACAUGCAUCCAGUUGGUACAUUAUGCUAGUAAGAUGAAUUACUGCUCUCAAAGUGAAGAUACAGCAGGCACUGCUUCUUUAUAAGGAAAAACGAACAGCCUAUUUGGCAUGUUUUGCGACCUAGUGUUUGAUCUGUGAUUCCUCUAAGUCUAGGGCCUUCCCCAAUUCUGUUCCUUCUGCCUGGAUUGGUCUCUCCUCUGCCUGCACCCCCUUCUUCUACUACUUCUAAUUCUAUCUCGGCUUUCAGGUCUCACCUUAGAGAUCAUUUUCUCUGAGGACAAUUCCCUGAGUCCUAUAGGCACAGGCCUAAGAAGGUACAGAAGGCCUUACAAUGAGUUCUAUGUCCUGGAAAGAGAUUAAAUUCACUGUGGGUGUAGGUUCCAAGGAUUCCAGGACAAAAUUGGACCUCCCAGAAUUUCAUCAUGACAGUGAACCAUGUGGACCAGGGCCUCAUCCUCGACGGUGAAACGUGCCCUUCUGUUAUUUCGGAGAGAAGUCAUCUUCUGUGAUUAAAGUUCAAGAUGAAGGCCAACCUACCAGUUCUUCCUCCUACAACACACAUACACCACCUAAUAUUCCACCUUGCCCUACAUCCACCCCAAACUCCUCAUUCUGCAACACACACAGGCAUGUACACGUACACGCACAUUAUCUUUGAGGGAAAACCAGGGUAGGAGUGAGGGCUAUGGGCAGCUUUCUAGAGCAGCAGCUAUUUGCCUAUCUAGAAAAUCCUGAAUAAACCAAGGUAAUAACUCCACCCCCUCUCCUGCCCCAAAUGAAACACAUUUUCGUCCUGUAGACCUCACUUCAUGUCUUAUACAAAGCAGAAUCAGUAUGGGUUAGCCUGAAUUGACUCUUCCAGCUUAACACGAAAGUAAUAAGAACCAAAGAUGUGCCUAAAUUUGUUCCUGGCAAAGGCAAUCUGUGAGAUAUUUUCUGAUUUUUAAAAAGACAUUAUCUAAUUGAUAUACAAUCCACAAUCAACUCUCUAAAGCGGUAAAAUUCACUUUUCUUUGUGUUUUUGUGUGUUUCUGUGUGAGUAGUUCCUCUACUUGCAGCAUAUUGGUUAAUUGUUGUUAAAAGUCAUAUUUCUGUUAUAUAUGGUUUUCUUUUCUUUCCACCUUCUCAAAAGUUCUCCUUUAAGGCAGAAACUUUCCAUUCUUGGUUUUGUCCAAAAGACAAAUAUUUCUGGGAAAACACUGCAUUUAAGCUAUUCAGCAAUCCUGGUGUUAUGUAACUGACCACAGUAAGACUUUCAAUUAACUUUGGUUACAUUUUAUUGAAGAGUGUCACAGAAUAGAAUAACCGGUGAUAAGGUUUUUAAAAAAAAAUUGUAUGUUUUUACACAGGGAAAACCCUCUUAAAAAUAUGUAUAGCUUCUUGCGAUAAUGACAGAAGAUAAACUGCUUAUCAUUUGAAGUAUUCUACAGUCCACUGACUGUAUUCCAAGUCUGACUUUCAUGUAUUUGAGAAGUUUUAGUCACAAUGAGCUUCCCUUCAGCGUUAGUUUCCAUAACUCAAGCUCUACUUGUUUUUUCUUUCCCUCUUGCUCUUCUCUCUGGUUAUUUUUGUUUGGUGUUCAGUUGUGGGUGCAUCUUGACACUGUUUAGAUUCUGCUUCUCCACUGAGGAGGAAUCAUGUGAAGUCAUGCUUUCAGACAACUUCCUGUAUACAUUACUAACUUGCAACUACUUUCUUCAUUUCUAGUCUUUAUCUUUCCUUCCUAUCACUCUUCAAUAUCUUAUUUUUCUUUCCCCGCAGAUCUGAACUGGUAACAUUUUUUUUUCCCCAAAGCAGAAAGUCCUUCCCAUUUUCUCUUUAUUUUAAUGUCCCCUCGACAAUCCCAGUGUGCCAUUCUUAAAGCCUUGCAGGUCUGUUCUUUCCCCUCUCAUUUCAUUGCAACACGCUGCCUAUCAUUAAGCUGCAACAUUCAUUUUUCCAAAACGUCAACCCUGAUUCAUUUCUUUAGUUCAAAGCCCUGGCCUCAGCCUCGGUGUUAGCUGUUUGGCAUGUACUUUACCUUAUUGCUUCCUAUCACAUCGCUCUACCUCCGAGCUGUCUCCCCACCAAUCCCCGACUCACCUGUGGACAAGUAUUACAAUCGCCUUGUUCACCCUCUGUUGUAUCAUUUCGAUAUUCUCUUACAAAAAAUGCAAGAAUCUCUGCCACCUGGGUACUUUAUCCAAACCUCAUGUCCCUUGACUGUCUGAGUCUCUUCUCCAACCAAAUACCAUCCUUUGACCUGCCAUCUCUCCUACUGAAAGUCCUCCACUUCUUCCUCCUAGUUCAUGUUUCUCUUUGUCUUCAAAGUGGUGGUUAACACAAUCUCAAUAAAAACUAUAAUUAUCUGUGAGUCCUUUAUGAAUGAGUGCCUCCUGAUCGAGGUUGUUGGUGUCCUCUCAGUGACACAUCGCUCAGUGGACCCUGUUCUCUUAAUCUGUACUUGCUGAUCUGUGGCUCUAUGGGUAAUUUUUCAUUUUAUCCUUUUAUGUCUUUUCUCUGCUUUCAGAGUAUAAACAACCUUAAGGUAGAGACAAUAUCUGAGAUUUAUUUAUAUCACUCAGCAGCAAUUACAAAGCACUUACUGAAUGUACAGCGUGGCUUUAUGUGUCUGUAUCUAGCAAUUGGUCAUAGUUAUUUACAUCUAUUUACCUAUCAUGUGCUAGGUGCUGUGGGAGGUACUAGAAAACAAUGAUGAGAAAGAAUUUAAUUACCUCUGCCUUCAUGGAGUUUGGGGGAAACAGAUAUUUAUCAAAAGAUCAUACAAUGAAAUGUAAAAUUAUGGCUGUGGUGACAAAGAGAGGAACAUGGUGCCAUGAGAGCACAUAAUAGGGGCAAUUUAACCCAGUUGGGAGAGCUUUGAGAAGAGGGAGGGAUGUCCCCAAAAGGAGAAUCACAUGUGUAAAGCCUCUGUCAUGGACCGGGACCAGAUAUAGUCAAGAUAUUGAAAGGUGGCUGGAUUGCUGGAGCCCAGAGCAUGUAUGUAAAGUACAUGGGAGGAGUCAGGAGAGGUAGGCAGGGGCCAGCCUAGGCAAGACCUUGUGGAAUAUGAAAAGGAUUUCGGUUUUUAUCCUUAAUAAUGGGGAGCUAUCAGAGGGAUUUAAGAAUAGGAGGGGAUGUUAUGGCGAUUUGAAAAUAUCACUAUGUGGAGGUAGAAGGAGGUGGGCAAGAAUACCAGGCACAGUAUCUUUCUGUGCUGUGUAGCAGCUCAGUAAAUGGUACUCAAUGACUGAACAGUUUGUGGGGGCUUUGAGUUCUUUCUAGGUUCACUGCAUCAUGAAGUUUUAGCUUCAAACUGCAAAAUCUUGAGUUACUUGAUGUAUGGGUCUGAGUUGUAAUAUAAUCAGUCUCCUUUAGCUUUUGCAAAUUGUUGAUCUGAUGAAUAACAAUGGACAAUGUUAGCUCAGAAUUUACCUCCAUGCUGGAUACUGUGCUAAAGCCUUGAUGUGUAUUAUCUCAUUUACUUCUCAGUAUGGGCCAGUGAGGAAAGUGUUUUGUAUCCCUAUUUUGUAUGGAUUUAGAGAUGUUAAAGACCUUGCUUCAGAGAGGAGUGAUGGAUCUAGGACUCAAAUCUAGGUGUUUCUGACUGCAGCCCUCACUCUUAGCCACUAUGUUACAGCAGUUCUAGUUCAUUCGAGCUUUCAGUACUAUUCCAUUACCUUUAUUACAGAAAAAGGAUGUUCCUUUAGCUCUGAAACAAGGUACGAUUAGGCUAAUUGCCCAGAAGCUCCUUCCGGAAUCUUGGUCAAAGCCCUACAUGGCAUCAGGUCCCCCAUUCUCCACUUUGCAGGAUGUUUGAUUAUAUAUCACACAGACCUGGCGUUAUGUCUGAGCUGACUGUUGCAUGUUUUGAUCUUUUCAACCACGUGAAUAAACCUCCGUUGUCCUU